GUGAAUCAUCAAAUCUUUGAACGCAAAUUGCACUCUCUUCGGAGAGUAUGCCUGUUUGAGGGUCAGUAUUAAUAAAAAUCGGUGUGUUGCUUCUUUGUGACGCUCCGGAGUUUGGGUCAUCUUAAUAUCUUUUAGGUUUUAAGAGGCUUAAAAUUGACUUUUUUUUGGGCUUUUAGGUGUUACUUAAAUUCUUUUUUUUUUUGUCCGUUUUAAU
rnacentral:misc_RNA from 1 species